UAGGGAAUUUUCGGCAAUGGACGAAAGUCUGACCGAGCAACGCCGCGAGAGUGAAGAAGGUUUUCGGAUCGUAAAACUCUGUUGUUAGAGAAGAAAAAGGACGUUAGUAACUGAACGUCCCCUGACGGUAUCUAACCAGAAAGCCACGGCUAACUACGUGCCAGUAGCCGCGGUAAUACGUAGGUGGCAAGCGUUGUCCGGAUUUAUUGGGCGUAAAUCGAGCGCAGGCGGUUUCUUAAGUCUGAUGUGAAAGCCGCCGGCUCAACCGGGGAGGGUCAUUGGAAACUGUGAGACUUGAGUGCAGAAGGGGAGAGUGGAAUUCCAUGUGUAGCGGUGAAAUGCGUAAGUAUAUGGAGGAACACCAGUGGCGAAGGCGGCUCUCUGGUAUGUAACUGACGAUAAGGCUCGAAAGCGUGGGGAGCAAACAGG
rnacentral:rRNA from 1 species